rnacentral:piRNA from 1 species
UAGUAAAUUCCACAGAAUCCAGAGUAUUAC